rnacentral:rRNA from 1 species
CCUACGGGAGGCAGCAGUGGGGAAUAUUGGACAAUGGGGGGAACCCUGAUCCAGCGACGCCGCGUGAGUGAAGAAGUAUUUCGGUAUGUAAAGCUCUAUCAGCAGGGAAGAAAGAAAUGACGGUACCUGACUAAGAAGCCCCGGCUAACUACGUGCCAGCAGCCGCGGUAAUACGUAGGGGGCAAGCGUUAUCCGGAUUUACUGGGUGUAAAGGGAGCGUAGACGGCGAUGCAAGUCUGAAGUGAAAGGCGGGGGCGCAACCCCUGGACUGCUUUGGAAACUGUAUGGCUGGAGUGCAGGAGAGGUAAGUGGAAUUCCUGGUGUAGCGGUGAAAUGCGUAGAUAUUAGGAGGAACACCAGUGGCGAAGGCGGCUUACUGGACUGUAACUGACGUUGAGGCUCGAAAGCGUGGGGAGCAAACAGGAUUAGAUACCCGUGUAGUC